GCCUGACAAAUUUGGUGAACUUACAGGUUUCAGCACUGGUGAAUAAGGGAAGAGCAACUGACAUAAUCUACCUGAACUUGUACAAAACAUUUGAGAUUGUCAGCUAUGGCAUUCUUAUCUUUAAAAGGGAGACACAUGGAUUUGACAGAUGGACAACUCGAUAGGUGAGGAAUUGACUGGUUAGUCACACUCAAAUAAUUGUGGUCAACAACUUGAUGUCCAAGUGGAGAUCAGUGGUCAAAAGGUCCUCCUGGACAUUACUUCUUUUCAGGCUUUCUGAGGAAGAAGAUGAAGCUGCUGGCUUCAGUCAUGGCCUUAAACUGGUAGCCUUCCAGAACAGGUCCUGGGUCUGCCCAUGAUAAAAUAUAAUAUAUGUGAUGGAGAACAAACCCCAGCUUUGCUCCAAUAAACAUAUAGUAUUUUCUGACUUUGUAGAGAUGUCAAUUAUUAGGAACCUAUGGUAUACAAGGUAGUUUCUGAUUAGGAAAAGAGAAUUUACAAUGACUGGAGCAUUCAAUUUUUGGGUGGUUGGUAGGCUUUAACAUGCACAUGCCUUUAUUGGAUGCUGUAAAGUGGGCAGUGAGCCCAUCUGGCUGCAGGGAUAAGGCAGGUCAAGUGGGCUCUCUGAAGCACGUAAGUAUGGCUCAAACCCACCAGGAUUUAAUGGAGAAUGAGAGGUCACAUUUUGGGGAGGGUCCUGGGGGAACAAGUAAGACCUGGGGAAACAUGCAAUAUACUAAAAAAUCCAACACUGUUAUACAAGAAAACAAGUCCAAAUGGUACCUUAGUUACGCAGAAAUUGAUAUUACAGUUUGUGAGACACUUCUGAUAGACCAGAAG